GUGUCAGCAGCCGCGGUAAUACGAAGGGGGCUAGCGUUGCUCGGAUUGACUGGGCGUAAAGGGCGCGUAGGCGGUUCGUACAGUCAGACGUGAAAUUCCUGGGCUCAACCUGGGGGCUGCGUUUGAUACGUGCGGACUUGAGUGCGGAAGAGGGUCGUGGAAUUCCCAGUGUAGAGGUGAAAUUCGUAGAUAUUGGGAAGAACACCGGUGGCGAAGGCGGCGACCUGGUCCGAUACUGACGCUGAGGCGCGAAAGCGUGGGGAGCAAACAGGAUUAGAAACCCGCGUAGUCC
rnacentral:rRNA from 1 species